rnacentral:miRNA from 1 species
UUGACUUUCUGCCCUGAUGGCG